CUCUACAGAGGAGGGACUCAAAUAUUCCUUGGAUUGAACUUUAGUCCAACUGGGGAAGAGGAAUAGAGAUAUAAUGUUUAAUCACCACUGCAUGGGCCAGAACACCCAAGAGAUGGACAGAAAGCCCAGAAGUGGCGUUCAAAAGGAUCUCUCGGGCUGUGCUUUACCUAUCAGACUGGAGAAACCAGGACAUUUGAUUGUUAACUGUUCUGGCUGCUGAGAGAGGAAACAAGCGAUCCAGUUUUACAGCGGAGAGAAAACUGAGGGCAGCACAAAGUCUCUGGAGGAACAUUACCAUUUCAAUAGACAUGCCCUUUGGCCUGGCCUCUCCUAGGAAGCUCCCUGAAGACCAGGAGGUUUCGGAAGCAUCUGGGCUGGAACCCACACAUGAUCGUUGCGUAUCUGCUCAUGACUGUGUCCAUCUAUUCAUUUCAGCGCAGCUUGUAGGAGAAAGUAUGAGUGACAACUUCCAACAGUUGUUGGCAAGCGACUGGCUAUAAAACUGGCACACCCAUUUGGUAAGAAUCUCAGGUAAAUCUAUCAGGGGUUUAAUCACGCAUCAUGCGAGCUCCAAUCAUCAUGUUCCGAUCUGCCCUCCCGAAGGAGGAACAGGUUUAUCGACUUUAAGAGCCCAAGGAGUUCUUGAGGGUCUUUGGACUGCAAGAGCUGGGGUCAGAGGCCGGAAGCCUGUAACUCCCUCCCAGGCGACCCAGCCGCUGGAGGCAGCCAAGGUGCUGAAGUCCUGCCCCUGCAGUGUCCCCGCCCCCACCCAGCCCGGGACACUGAGACACGUGCUACAGCAACGAUCAGGGGCCUCCCCUUCCAGCUCAGUCUUUCCGGACUCAAAGUCAUGACUCCUGAGGAACAGCUGCAGAGAAGGUGGGGGUCCCCUCCCCUACCAACCUCUCAGAGAAAAGCACAACAGAUGGGCAAAAAUGGGGAAGGUCUACAAAGAAGGGUCAGCAAAGCUCAGGGAGGGAUGGGCUCUGCCUCCCCAAUUCAAGUCUCUUUAUGUUUGUUGCUGAUAAAAUGGAGAUAAUUAUG